GCGAUGAACAACCCAACCAACUUCACCAAGCACCAAGCCAACCCGAAGGUGGGUCCCACCAUAGCAAACAUCAUGUCGAAGGUCAAUGGUGGGUCCCAGUUAACAUCAUGAGCUCACUGUGCGCAACCGCUAGCUCCCAGGUUGUGCUUCCUAAAAGUCUACAAGUUGUUCUCGAGGCAAUCAAACUUGAUCUGAGCAAAGUCAUUUAUUGAAUUUCACCCUCCGGUCCAACACCUUCUUCUUCUCUGUCACUGCUGUCGUCAUGAAGGUAAUGAAGCACAAGGGGGUUAAAGAGAGGCUGCAACUGCUAUACCUCUACUUCCAGCAGGAAGGACAUCGUGGUGGUUUUGGUGUGGCGCCUUGGCAAUUUCCGGUGUCCAUGGGGCUGCUAAUAUCGCCAGAGAGAACACGAUCAGGACUUAAUUGGGGAGGUUCAAAGCCCGUGGUGUUUUUCAGCAUCUUUGACGAAGCCGCAGAAGGUUAAACUUUUCCUCACUAGCUUAUCGUAUUCUUGAUAUUCCGGUUCAUGUAUAUAGCAUAUGCUCCACUGACAUAGAAGACUGAACAAAUUCUUUGGGCAUGAAUUAUAUAUGGGACUAUAAGUGCAUUUAUACCUGAACAAAUUCUGGACCCAAGGGAUAGUUUUGUGCAAGAAUACCUGGCUUACUUUUUUGCUCAUAUUAAUUCAUUGCAUAAUAUCUACAUAAGUGGUGCUCUUUGUUCCACUUGCUUUGACAAUGCUAUCUGAUUUCACUUGUAAUAGAUAUAUAGAGAGAUAUAGGGAUUGCAACCUGAUGCAUAUUUUUUUCUUUUUAGUGGCCGGCCAUAAAACUAUUUCAGUUUAGUUCUUAAUUUACUUGAUCAAAUUACUUUUGUGAUGUAAUGUAGUCCUUUCCCUACCUCUUGGACCUAUAAUAAUGUCUUCAUCUCCUACACUUGGAUAGUUGGCUCGACAUAGAACUGCAUUUCUUCUUCUCUUAUAUGAGAAAGAGUGCAACUUUUCAGUCUAAUUUGCGUAUUUCUUCAUGGAAUUUUGAUGUUGUAUAUGUCUCUGGUAGUUUCAUCUUUAACAUGGCGCUGAGUAUGCCAUGUGCUACCCAGCCGGGAGCUAGCUUUGCUCAAUUUUAUUUUAUCUUCACCUGGGCAUCUAUAAGUUUGGAUAUAUCGUGACAUUUGUUGCAUGAGUGUAGUAGUAUUAUCACAGCUGAUGUUAUAUAUGCAUAUAUAGGUGAUGCUAUAUGUU